AAUGAACGCUGGCGGCGUGCCUAACACAUGCAAGUUGAGCGGUAAGGCCCCUUCGGGGGUACACGAGCAGCGAACGGGUGAGUAUCGCGUGGGUAACCUACCCAGAGGUGGAGGAUAGCCCCGGGAAACCGGGGGUAAUACUGCAUAUGUCCUCGAUGACACAAGUCGACGAGGGCAAAGGCGGGGCUUCUUCGGAACCUGUCGCCUUUGGAUGGGCCCGCGUCCGAUUAGCUUGUUGGUGGGGUAACGGCCCACCAAGGCUUCGAUCGGUAGCCGGCCUGAGAGGGUGAACGGCCACAUUGGGACUGAGACACGGCCCAGACUCCUACGGGAGGCAGCAGUGGGGAAUUUUGGGCAAUGGGGGAAACCCUGACCCAGCGACGUCGCGUGGAGGAUGACGGCCUUCGGGUUGUAAACUCCUGUCAGGUGGGAAGAAAUGCCAGUCGGUUAAUACCCGACUGGAGUUGACGUACCACCAAAGAAGCCCCGCUAAC
rnacentral:rRNA from 1 species